GUCCUUAUGAAUUUAAUUUAAGGUUUAACCUGCCCACUGAAAUUAUUUGAAGGGCCGCAGUAAUUUGACUGUGCAAAGGUAGCAUAAUCAUUAGUUUUUUAAUUAAAAGCUUGUAUGAAAGGUUGGACGAGGUAAAUUCUGUCUCUAUUUAAUUUAAUAUAGAAUUUAAUUUUUAAGUUAAAAAGCUUAAAUUAUUUUAAAAGACGAGAAGACCCUAUAGAUCUUUAUAUUAUAAAUAUUAAUUUUAAUUAAGAAUAUUUUAUUUUUUAUUAUUUAUAAUAUUUUAUUGGGGUAAUAGGAAGAUUAAUUUAAUUCUUUUUUUUAUUUUUACAUUAAUAAAUGAUUAUAUGAUCCAAUUUUAUUGAUUAAAAGAUUAAGUUACCUUAGGGAUAACAGCGUAAUUUUUUUAGAGAGUUCAUAUCGAUAAAAAAGUUUGCGACCUCGAUGUUGGAUUAAAAAUUAUCUUAGGUGUAGAAGUUUAAGAUUUUGGUCUGUUCGACCAUUAAAUUUUU
rnacentral:rRNA from 1 species